AAUGAACGCUGGCGGCAGGCCUAACACAUGCAAGUCGAACGGAUCCCUCGGGAUUAGUGGCGGACGGGUGAGUAACGCGUGGGAACAUACCCUUUGGUACGGAAUAGCCUCGGGAAACUGGGAGUAAUACCGUAUGUGGUCGAGAGACGAAAGAUUUAUCGCCAAAGGAUUGGCCCGCGUUGGAUUAGGUAGUUGGUGGGGUAAUGGCCUACCAAGCCGACGAUCCAUAGCUGGUUUGAGAGGAUGAUCAGCCACACUGGGACUGAGACACGGCCAGACUCCUACGGGAGGCAGCAGUGGGGAAUCUUAGACAAUGGGGGAAACCCUGAUCUAGCCAUGCCGCGUGAUCGAUGAAGGCCUUAGGGUUGUAAAGAUCUUUCAGGUGGGAAGAUAAUGACUGUACCACCAGAAGAAGCCCCGGCUAACUCCGUGCCAGCCGCCGCCGUAA
rnacentral:rRNA from 1 species